GUCUCUGAAAUUCGUCAAAAAUCAUCUAAAACUGUUUGAAAUGCCUUUGAAAUCCCCCUAAAACUCCCUCGCACCUUAUAUAACGCACCUGAGACCCUCAGAAAUCCCUGAAAACGCCUUCGUUACGCCUGAGUAAUGCCUCUGAAACUCUCCAACAAUCCUCUGAAGUUUUCUGAAAUGCACUCGAAAUCCCCUUAAAACCCCAUCGGACCCCAUGUAACGCAACUGAGACCCUUCGAAACUCCCCGAAAAUACCCCUGAAGCCCCCCCGGUGCAACACCUCUGACCCCCCCUCCCUCCUGAAACACCCAUGAAAUCCCGGAUGGCCCCUUUAAAUCUCCAAGUCACUCGCCCUUCUUAAACUUCUUUGCAAUCUCCAAAUCCAUUUAGGUAAAAACUCUAUUUUGGAAAUCCCGACUCGUUACCCAAAUAGAGGUUUUGGUGCAAACUUGCUCAUACUUGAUGAACCAUGUUCGCAGUCCAAAUAUGGUGACCAUAAAAUUUAAGAUAGCUGGCUAAAAUCCAAGAUGACGGCUGUUUUGUGGAGUUUUGAGUUCUAAAACUAUGCUAUAUGGGUAUAUUUAGUAUGGGGCAAAUGUUCGAAGUUUAAAAAUGGUGACCAGAGAAACCAACAUGGCGGUCCAAAAUCCAAGAUGGCGGACACAAAUUCAAUAUGGCGGCUGUUUUGUGGAGUUUUGAGCUCCAAGACUACACAAUUUGGUAUGGCAAAUAUGUUCGGAGUUCAAAAAUGAUGUCCGAAAAAGUCAAGAUGACGGUCCUUAAUCGAAAAUGACGGAAAACAAAUCAAGAUGGUGGCUGUGUUAUGGAGUUUUGAGUUCUAAAACUAUGCAAUAUGGGUAUUUUCGGUAUGGUAAAGCGGUAACCAGAAAAUCCAAGAUGGCGAUUUAAAAUUCAAUAUGGCUGACAAAAAUUCAAUAUGUCGGCUGUUUUUUUUUGGAGUUCUGAGCUCUAAAACUAUACAAUAUGGUUAUAUUUGGCAUGGAAAAUAUUUGUUCGGAGUUCAAAAUUGGUGAUCAAAAAACCCAAGAUGGCGAUCUAAAAUUAAAAAUGGCAGACCAAAAAUUCAAGAUGGCGACUGUUUUGUGAAGUUUUAAGUUCUAAAACUAUGCUAAAUGAGUAUAUUUGGUAUGGGGAAAAUGUUCGGAGGUAAAAAAUGAUUACCAGAAAAUUCAAGAUGGCGAUCUAAAAUCCAACAUUGCAAACAAAAAUUCAAGAUGGCGGCUGUUUUGUAGAUUUUUGAGCUAAUAAUAUGCAAUAUGGGUAUAUCGUGUAUGGGGAAGAUGUUCGGAAUUCAGAAAUGGUGACCAAUGAAUCUAAUGUAGCGGUUCGAAAUACAAGAUGGCGGCUGUUUUAUGCGUGUUUGAGUUUCGAAACUAUGCAAGAUAAGUGUAUUUGGUAUGAGGAAGAUGUUCGUAGUACAAAAAUAGUCUGGUCACCGGAGAACUGAAGAUUUUUCAAGUUAGAGCCUAUUUUGUAGGGUUUUGAAACCUUACAAUAUGAGCAUAUUUGGUAUGGGAAACAUGACAAAAUUUGUAUUUAGAAAAUCCAAGAUGUCCGCUGUUUUACGAGGUCUCUUAAACCAUGCAAUACGACUAUAAUUUGUAUGAUGAAGAGUGCCGGACUCUAACCAAAACUGGUAACCAGAAAAUCCUAGACCAUGCCAAGGCAUGCCAAAUUCAAACCAGCGACUGUUUUAUGUAAUUUUAGAUGCUAAGUCCAUGCAAUAUGGGAAUAUUUAGCAUGACAAAUACGUCAGGAGUCCAAAAAUGAGUACCAGAACAACCAAGAUAGUGUAUCAACGUUUAAGAUGGCGAUUGUUUUCUAGAGUUUAUGCUCUGAAACCAUGCAAUAUGGAUCUCUUUAGUAGUGUGGGAAGAUAUUCGGUGUAAAAAAAAUAUGACCUGAAAAUCCUAAAUAACGUGAGUAUUGUAGAAAGUAAAUUUUAAGACCAUCCAGGAUUAAUUAGGGUAUUUUUUCUUACAAUUUGGAGAAUCAAAAGCUUUUAAAAAGACUUUUCAAUCACUGUAAAUGUCAGAAGAGGUUCUAAAUUACAUCACGGUCGUUGCGCAUGACGGGAGAAGGCGCAGUUUUUCUCCGCACGCCAUUGACAGUUUUGUAAAACCUCCACAUAUCACUUUGGUCCAUACUCUCUUGCGCCUGAACGAGGGUUUCCAGAAAGUUCCCAGAGAGCCCAAAAAGGGGGUUCCAAGGCGCUUCAGGGUAGAGUGUCCAUUUCCCGGCCACUUUUCUUGUCCCGGGAUUCGGGACAAAAUACUUAGCUAAUCCCGGGAAAUCCCGGGAUCCCGGGAUUUUUCAAAAUUUUAAUAAAAACCCAGAAAAUAGUUUUCCUUUUCUCUUGUGCAGUUCAAGUAUUAUUUUUUUUCGAACAGUUAUGAAUAUAUUUUGUUUCCAAAACAAGAAGUAUUAUAAGGAGAAAUAAAAGUAUCAGCAUGAUGCUCACCAAGAAAUAUUUGUAUUUAGCGCUUUGAUAGUUGAUUUAUUACAAGGUAGAAAAUUACAAAUUUCUAAUAGUUUGACUGGAAUAAGCAUCAUAAUCCAUCUAAGCUACCAAAUAUUUUUUUUCGAAUAACGCGUCCCACUUCGAGAAAUUUAUCUUUAGAUGUCAUUCGCCAUACGACAUUUUUACGAUUUACUUUUAGCUAUUUUUUGCACAUAGAAGGUAACGCCAUACGGUGAGUAGGAAAACAGGCGAUGCGUGUAAUUCAUUGCGGUUUUUUGAUAGUUUUAAAGAUGUUGUAGUACUUAAUUUUGAGAUUCAUGAAUUUCAUGAGAAAAAAAAUUCGAUUUAUUAACAUAAUAUAAUACAAGUUUGGAAUCGUGUUUCCAAACAUUACAAAGUUGGGGCUAUGUCCAGAUUGUUCUUGCAACUACUGAAUAAACCAGUAAGAUAGAAAAUUUAAAUUAAAUGCAUAACAUAAAAUCAAUAUUUUCAUUAUUAUUUUUUUCUUUUUCAAGUAAAACCUAUAGCCCAAAGCCCGAUGGUAGUGCAUGUGAAAAAACCGAUCAGAUUUCAAAAGUGAAAAUAAUGUUUUGCAUUAAUAUUUAGUAGUUAUAGCUAUAAAUGAUCUUUAUCCCGGGAAUCCCGGGAUGGUCGGGAUUUCUAAAACUAUAUCCCGGGAUUCGGGAAAUCCCGAAAUCAUACAAAUCCCGGGAAUUCUUGUCCCGGGAUGUCCCGGGAAGGACACUCUACUUCAGGGGCGUUUUAAGGGGUUGUUUCGGGGGAUUUGAGGAGCCUUUUGAGGGUGUUCUGUCAAGAUUUUUGGUGUUUUCAUGAGAUUGUGAGGAAUUCUGGGGUAUUUAAAUUGUAUUAAGUGGGUUUCAGGGGUGUUCCAAGGGGCUUUAGGGGCAAUUCAAGGGACUCAGGAGCUUUAAAGGCGUUGCAAGAGGUUUGAGGGGCGUUUUAAAGUAUUUCAGAGUCUGCUCUGAAACUUCCUGAAAUGCCUCAAAAAUCCCCCUCAAACCCCCGGGGACCCCAUGUAACGCACCUAAAAGGCUUCGAAACCUCUGAGAACUCCUCCGUAACGCUUCAGUAACUCCUCUGAAUCCGCAGAAAAUGCUCUGAAACAUCUUGAAAUGCCUCCAAAAUCUCCCUUAAACCCCCUCGGAUCCCAUGUAAGUAACGCACCUGAGAAGCUCCGAACCCCCCGAAACUUCUGCGUAACGCUUUCGUAACGCCUCUCAAUCACGCCAAAAAUGGUCAAAAACCUUCCUCAAUGCCUCCAAAAUCCCCCUUAAACCUCCUCGGACCCCAUGUAACGCUCCUGAAAGGCCCCAAACCCCCCAAAAACUCCUCCGUAACGCUUCCGUAACGCCUCUAAAUCACGCCGGAAAUGGUCUGAGACAUUCUGCAAUGCCUCCAAUAUCCCCCUUAAACCCCCUCGGACCCCAUGUAACGCAUCUGAGUUACUCCAAACCUAUGCUCCUCCGUAACGCUUUCGUAACGCCUCUUAAUUCCACAGAAAAUGCACUGAAACACGUCCUGAAAUGCCUUCAAAAUCCCCCUUAAACUCUCUCGGACCCCAUGUAACGCACCUGAGAAGCUCCGAACACCCCGAAAACUCCUCCGUAACGCUUCUGAAUCACACCUAAAAUGGUCUGAAACAUCCUGAAAUGCCUCAAAAUAUCCUCCUAAACCAAAACCCCUAAAACGCCUCUGAAACCAGCCGAAAAUGCUCUGAGACUUCCUGAAAUGACUCCGAAACCCCCUUAAGACCCACUCGGACCCCAUGUAACGCACAUGAGACCUUCGAAAACACCCAAAAACGAAUCAGGAACCUUCCUUUGCUCUCCUCUGUAACACUCCUUGGCCACCGUUGCAAUAGUCCCCGUCAUUAAUAAAUAUUCUUAUGAACCAUAUUGGUUCUGAGUAGCUUUCCCUCUUUUUAUGCAGGGCAUAAAAAAGGUGCAUAAAUUAAAAGUGCAUAAAAAUAACAUGCAUAAAAAGAGGUUUUAGUGUAUUUUAAAUGUUUUCGAGCACCGAAUGUAAAAUUAAUCGAAUUUUUACUUCGUGGCGCAUUUCCCCCCUCUUUCCCUUAUUUUGGUGCACUGAAUCGAAACCAUCGAUACCGUUCGCUGGCAUUGAAACCCUUCUAGAAACAUCGAGAGGUGGUGUGGCUGCUAGGAGUAGUUUUUGGCCAUCGACAGAAUUGAGGGAGGGCCCAAAAUCGCUGCUUCAAACAAUACUGUGAUAAGUUUUGGAAAACAUCAUCGGCUGAGACUCGGCUUGAUCGAUUGCUGUGAUUUAGAGCUCGAACCAAUACCAGACCCGUUCAAUUCAACCGAAUAAUAUUUCAAACCGGUUAGGUACCGAUUGCAUCCGACUACCAAGUAGAAAAGAUCGAAACUCGUUUCCAAGGCACCACCACUCGCCGUCCAAACGAGUAGGUAGAACCCUUUUACUUUCAAUAUUGAAUCAGAGACUUCCUCGGUCCGAUCGGUAAUAACUGUACCGGACGGGGUACCACCAGCCAGCGCAUAAUCCAAUCCAAAGUAAUGACAUUUUAGCGAGCCCGUUACUGGUCAUUGACCAACCGUCUUCCACCUGGCAACAGCCACCCAGCAAUCCAAACCCCGAAACGACCAAUCAAGAAUUGAAACAGUUUCGCAAAAAAAAACGGGUCCAUGUUCGAUCUGCUACGGUACCUGUCGCCGGCCGAUUGCAGCAGCGCACGGGCAAGAACAAAAACUUGCUUUUCGCGACUACGGCGAGCUUUGCAUCUUUGCAUGUCACACAGAGCGGUCGCGGUCGGCCGCGGAUGGCGCAAGCUCUAGAUCUCCUCCCAAAGAGCUCCACAUUAGCAAGGCACGAACUGGAACUAGAUUACCUUGGGAGGAGUUUUGCAUGGUGUCUACAAUUUGCGCGUAUGAUAAAGGCAUCCCCCACUCGAAACGCAAAGAAUUGACAACCGAAUGAGAUGUGGCAACCGACUGUGGAGUGACUGGCAGCUGCUGCAUCGCGGAUUGAGUUGAAUUUUACGCUUCAAGAACUGUUCGGGGGUAGCUGCAACAAGUUCCACGAGUAGGAUGUUGAUUUACGAACGACACGGUCAGAUCUGAAUGAACUUUGAUUUUUGGGAGUUUGAUACGAUGGCUAGUAGGAUAGAAAGCUACUGCGUCAUAUGCGCUUAUUCCCGUCACAUCAGACGGAAAAAAGCAAAUAAUUUCAUACAUUCCAACUUACCUAUGCCAAUGGAUCAUCGAAUGGAAGCUAAAAGCUGUAGACUAUCAAUAAUUACGCAAAAUUUUACGUUUCAAUUUCACUCCGUUUACGAGUUAACAUUUUUUCUCGUUGUGCGUGACGAAGGCAUCCGUACCAAAGCAACAACUAGCCGACUUGUUGUUCAUCACCGUGCAAUUUUCAAUUCACCAAAUUCACUUGUUGGACCAACCUUCAAUUCGCACUCCACAAAAGCUCUUUGGUACUUCAAAGUUUUAUUUCACUGCUGCAGGAUGCAGCAAAACCUAUUCAAUGAAUCAAAUCCAUCGCUUUUUGUCGUCGGUAAAAUGGGUAUGUUCAGUAGUUUUCGCCUAGGGAAGAUGCAAGCAAAUGUGUGCGUGGAUUUUCUGCAUACGAAGCAUCGUAUUUCACAACCACAGAGGCAGAUUUCUUCGUUGCACUGUGAUGGCGUAUUAUAAUGUGGUGGGCAAAAAUGUUUAUUGAAAUAUUUUGGUAGGUAUUCUUAGGCUACAUCAAUUAUAAUUAAAAACUUACUCACUUGGUGAUCUAGGUCAUCCAAACUAUUCUGGGAUUAGGACCUUCAAGCUCUACAAGUGAAAAAACUUAAAUUAAAUGUUCAGAAAACUAAGACAAUGAUUAUAAGUAAUAAGAAGCAGCUAAAUUAUGCAGAUUUGAAAAUUUAUAUUGAAGGAAUUGAAAUUGAGAGAGUAGAGGUCUUUAAGUACCUCGGGGUCCUAAUUGACCAAAAAUUGACAUUCAAAGCACACAUCGACAAUGUGAUUAAAAAGAUAGCGAAAAAGUACGGCAUGCUAGUUCGAUUGAGUAGUCAAAUGACGUUUUGGAGUAAAAUAUUUGUGUAUAAAACUUUGGUGGCACCACAUAUUGAUUAUUGUUCCUCAGUGAUAUUUUUAGCUAGUGAUAUACAUCAGAAAAGAUUGCAAAGAUUGCAAAACAAGUUUAUGAGGUUUAUUCUGAGCUGCAACAGGUAUACACCCAUAAGAGUUAUGUUGGACACAUUACAAUGGCUGUCAGUGAAAGAACGAAUAGUUUUUAAUGUAUUGACAAUAAUCUUUAAAUUGACUAAUAACCUCUUGCCGGAAUACUUGACAAAUAUUAUUUUGCGUGGACGAAACAUACAUAAUUAUUCAACUAGACGAAGUGAUGAUUUACGUGUUGUGCCAUUUACUAUGACAAGUACGCAAAAAUCUAUUUAUUUUAGUGGAAUAAGAAUAUUUAAUGAAUUGCCAAUUGAAAUAAGAACUAUGAGAAGUGUUCCUGAAUUCAAGAGAAAUUGUGUGAGGUGGAUUAAAGAACGAUUUAGACAAUAAGAUUUAUUAAUGUUCGAAGAAGAUGAAUUUGUUUGUAUGUGUUUAGAUAAUAAGAUGAAUUUAUGUUUUAUUGUAAAUUAUCAAAUGAUAAAUAAAUGGAUUAUUAUUAUUAUUAUUAUUGUAUAUCUUUACUUUAUCGAUGUAUUUCAUCCAAAAAAUCUUUCAACAAUUACUCAAAGAACUUCUGCCAAUAAUUCUUCCUGAAAUAUUUCUAGAAAUUCCUCGAAAAUUCUUGCAAGAAUCCCUCGAGGAAUUUCUCCAAGAAUUCUUUCAAGAAUUCCACUAGGAAUUUCUCCAAGAAUUUCUCCAGGAAUUCCUCCAAGAAUUUCUCUAGAAAUUCCUCCAAGAAUUUUUCUAGGACUUUCUCCAAAAAUCCCUUUAGGAAUUUCUCUCGAAAUUCCUCGAAAAAUUUCUCCAGAAACCUGUGGAAAACUCUACGAAAAUUCUUCCAAAAAUUAUUCCAUUAAUUCAUCCGAGAUUACUAUCACGCAUUUCUCCAGAAAUUUCUCUAGGAAUUCGUGAAGAAAAUUUUUAAGGAAUUUAUACAUAAAUUAUUUCAGGAAAUCCUCCAGGAAUUUUUCCAGGAAUUCCUCGAUAAAUUCUUCCAGGAAUUUCUCCAGGGAUUUUUAAAGAUUUUUUUUCAAGACCUCCUCUAAAAAUUCCUCCAUGAAUACCUCCAGGAUUAUUCAGGAAACCUUUAGAAAUUCCUCAAGAAAGUAUUACACCUUCAGAAAUUCCUUAAAAAAAUCUUUCUGGAAUUUCACUUGGAAAUCUUCCAGCAAUUCAUCCAGGAAUUCCUCUUAUAAUAUCUUCAGGGAUUCCCCCAACAAUUCAUCCAGGAAAUUCACCAAGAAUUCCUCAAGGAAUUUCCCCAAAAAUUCAGCCAGAAAUUCCUCCAACACAUCCAACACAUCUGUCUAGAAUUCUUCCAAGAAUUCCUCCAAGAAUUCCUCCUAAUAUUCGUACAGGAAUUUCACCAGGAGUUUUAAACUUCUGCCAAGAAUUCCUCCCAGAUUCCCUUCAGGAAUUUCGCCAGAAAUAUCUUCAGAAAGUUUUUCAAGUAAUUUCUUCUAGAAUUCAUCCAAAACAUCCUCCAGAAAUUUCUUCAUAAAUACUUCCAAGAUUCUUCAGGAAACCUCUAGAAAUGCCUCAAGAAAAUAUUCCUGGGACAACCCAAGGAAUUCCUCUGAGAAUUUUUUUUUUUCAUUGAUUUCUUCAGGAACUGCUCCAAGACUUCUUUCAACAUUUUUUUCAAGAAUUUCUCCAGGAAUUACUACAAGAAUUAUGUUGAGAAUUUCUCCAAGACAUUCUUUCAAGAAUUCCGACAGGAACUUCCGACAGGAAACUUUUAUUUCUUGUACAGAUAUCCAAAACUAGAAAAUGGGAAAAAGAAUUUUGAAAAAUCGAUUAAGGCAUCGCUAAGAUAUAGCUAUUUGAAGAUUUAGUUGAAACACAUUUUUGGUAUUGCUAACCACGUCCUGAACCAAUUUUCAUUCAGAAGAAAAACGCGGAUCUCCUCAAGGUUUAGCCUCUCCUUGUUCAUAAAAAUAUACAGCCGGAUUGACUGACGUCACUUACUGUACAAUAGGUGUGUUGAUUUUCCCUAUAACUGAAUGGUGGAAUGGUAUGGUUAUCAUUCAAUGGAGUCUUAUAAAAUUGAUAAAAAGUGGGAAUAUUCAUUGCACUUGAAGAAAUGAUUGUGCAACCGCGUGAAAUCAGUUUCAAUCGACUCUUCACUACGAGUGCACGUAGGAACGUUUUCUCUCCAGAUUUUUAAAAAUAAUUCAUUAUAUCCUGAAUCGAAAUGAACCCAUCCCCGUUACUGAAACACGAGCUAACCCAUUUGCCCAUCAUCACAAAGGGAAACAACAAAGUGAUGGUUGCAACGUGGACUGUGAAUUUCGAACGUGACUCAGUUGCGAAGUUUGCCAAUGGGGAAACUAUCGAAUCCGACAAAUUUUCCUUUGCGGGACACUGGUGGAAAAUGUCCCUGGAGAUGAACUCUGAGUUUACAACAAAAGGUCACUUGAAAAUAGUGGAUUCCGGAAGUGCUCCACAAGUGAGCUAUAUCGUACUAGUUUUUGAUUCGACGCGCAGCAUAAUAGAUUACUGGUAUCAGUUUUCAGCGAAAGCGGAGAAAAAAGAUAGUGAUAAUGGGACUUUCGGUAGGCAGACCCCUAUUAAUGAGAUGCCAGAUAAUGUACCCAAUCAACCUUUUAGCCUGUCCCAGAAGUCGAUUCCCAGACAACCAGGAGUCGCAUAAGAAACCACGUUGUACAUCGUAUAAAGUACUAUUUUGAGUCACUAUCGCAUAUAUGUACGGCUGACUGACAAAUUUCAUCGCAUACGAUGUUAUUUUUUGAACUUAUUACGAUGUAUCAGGUAAAGUCAUAUGAGAAUACAAAUAAACUUUUAUAAGGUAGGAGUACAUCGUAGUAGAUGAUAUUCUGAUGUUUUAUUGCGAUGAACUUUACUUACUCGUAAAAGCGUGCGAGCGAACUCGCAAAGUGUCUAAUGAAUUCGCAUAAUUGCGUACUGCGAUGAUUAUACGACUUCGCUUGAUACUUUUCUUGUUGUGUCAGUUUACCUCGCAUUGGUGUAUGGAUGAAAUCGCAUAAAAGUACAAAUAAACUCAUUGAAGUGUGCAUACAAACUCGCAUAAGCUAGAAGCGUUUAUGUUGGCAUUAUGCGAUUUGAUAUGUGAUAACAAUUAAAGAGUUUCUGUUGCACUGUGGAUGCAGUGCCAAAAAGCUACAAGAAAGUGAACAACCAUAAUUAUGGUUGCAAAGUCAUUAUUAUUUGUUGAAUUGGCUUGAUAAUCAACAAUGGGGGGUGUUAACCAGAGAGGGGCAGGAAAACUGUACGGGAAAUCGUUUUUAGCCUGCCAAACACGCACAGCGCAAGUGAACCAAGUGCAUUCCAACAAACACUGAGGUGAGUUAUAAUAUCAUAAUAAUUAAUCAGCUUGUAUCAUAAGUAGCGUUUGGUGUUAUGUGUGAAGUGUGGCUCGACAAUCCAGAGGUCAUUAGUUCGAUAUCGAGCUGACAGAAUUGUUUUUUUUUCAAUAUUAUUAAAUCGCAUAAGAUGCUAAAUUGCGUCGCAAUAGUGCACGCGGUGCAUCGCAUAAGAUAUCGCUUCAAGUCAUAUAGCGUUAUUAUUUUUUCGUCAAUGCACGUAUAGCGCCUCCACUUUUGUACGCAUAAGGCACUUUUGCUGCAUCUUAUGCGAUGUAACUUUAACGCAUAAAAGUACGUAUAACAUGAACAUAAACUUCAUUAUACGUGCAAAUUGGUUGUCUGGGUUGAAGCUGGCUGUUUUACAUUGUGUUGCCAACUGUCUUUGUUCCGAAAAUACUUAACUGAUCAUCUAAAAAAACUGAAAGAUGAUGAAUACGAAGAUGUUAUUUUCUUGACCCAAGAAAAAAAGAUGGAAGCUCACAGAUUUAUGAUUGCCUCUCAUAGUUCUGUUUUCCAUGAUUGGUUGGAGAAUGGUGAUUCCGUAAUCAGACUAUCCGAUUUUGACUCUGAAGUCGUAGAUGCAAUGCUAACUUUCAUUUACUCUAAACGUAUUCCAAAUGUUGAAAAACUGGCGGUCGAUCUUCUGACGAUGGCUGAAAAGUAUGAUAUAAAAUAUUUCAAAGAACAAUGUGAGAAACGCCUUUGUGAAAAGAUUUCUAUUGGGAACGCAGUAAGACUGCAAGCUCUAGCUGAGCAUAAAAGUCUUGGAGAAUUGAAAGAGGAAACCAAACAGUUUAUUGAGCUCAAAAUUGACGCUAUUCAAGCAACGUCGGAAUGGAAAGAAAUGAUUAAGGAAUUUUGGUUGAAGUUUGAGGAAAAAAAUCAAAUAUCUCUAAAAAGGAAGAAGCCUAGCCCGAUGUGAAUUUCUUUGAUGCAGGACUUAAAAACACCGGGAAUCGGAUUAUCAAAUUGUUAUUAAAAUAUUCAAUUUUUUGAAAAUCGAUUUUUCAUAUUUUUUUAAAGUGCUGAAAUUGUUACAAGAACCAUUCAAACAUUAACAACAUAAUUAUUUAAGACUAUGAGCAAAGACAGAAAAAUCUUUUUGGUAAGUCCAGACACCCACAUUUUAAUCCACAUACAAUUGCUAUUACAAAAAAAAUUGCUUGAUUUGAAAACACACUUUGCACAACAAAAUGACAGUUGUAUAGUGCCAAGAAACGCAUUUUUUAAGUAGCCGUGAACAUGCUCAUUUUUUAUUUUUUGCGCCGAAUCGGAUGACACUUCAAUAUGUGUUUUGUUCGUUACGAUAAAUAAAUAAACAAAUUAAAAGAAAUAAACAA